GACGAACGCUGGCGGCGUGCUUAACACAUGCAAGUCGAACGGAGAAGCGCAGCUUUUUUUGGGGUGCGGCGGCGGACGGGGGAGUGAUGCCUAGGAAUAUGCUUGCCUGCGGGGUAUAACUUCCUGAAAGGAGGGCUGAUACGGCAUAAGUGGUGAUGCUGGAACUGGGGGAUGUUGGGACUGCGCGCGAUCAUGUGUGCGUAGGUGGGAGUAGCUAGUUGGUGGGGUAAGUGGCUGCGGAGGCGGCGAUCCGCAACUGGUCUGAGUGGAGGGUCAGUCACACUGGAACUGAGACGCGGUCCAGACUCCUGCGGGAGGCAGCAGUGGGGAAUGUUGGACAGUGGGCGAAAGCCUGAUCCAGCCGUGCCGCGUGUGUGAAGAAGGUCUUCGGAUUGUAAAGCACUUUUAGUUGGGAGGAAGGGCAGUAGGUUAAUACCUUGCUGUUUUGACGUUACCAACAGAAUAAGCACCGGCUAACUACGUG
rnacentral:rRNA from 1 species